AACGGGAGACUGUGGAGGAGCGGCGGC
rnacentral:piRNA from 1 species